UACGGGGGGGGUAAGCGUUGUUCGGAAUUACUGGGCGUAAAGGGCUCGUAGGCGGCCAACUAAGUCGGACGAUGAAAUCCCUCAGCUUAACUGGGGAACUGCGUCCGAUACUGGAUGGCUUGGAUUUGGGAGAGGGAUGCGGAAUUCCAGGUGUAGCGGUGAAAUGCGUAGAUAUCUGGAGGAACACCGGUGGCGAAGGCGGCAUCCUGGACCAAUAUUGACGCUGAGGAGCGAAAGCUAGGGGAGCAAACGGGG
rnacentral:rRNA from 1 species